rnacentral:tRNA from 6 species
GCCGGAGUGGCGGAAUAGGCAGACGCGCUGGUCUCAAAAACCAGUGAGGGUAACCUCAUGCCGGUUCGAUCCCGGCCUUCGGCACAA